rnacentral:lncRNA from 1 species
CUAGGCACUAACAAAGGAUGUUUUUGAGGUAUUAAAGUACCUUGUUUUAGAGGAGGAGGUAGAAAGGUGUCAUGAGUGGCCGCACCAGAACUGGUCUCAAUAUUUUCUACCACAAUUAGAAACAGGGCUCUGCAGAGAGAGACUUGGGUUGUUCAGGUUCACCUUUCCCGAGGAAUUGUGGGCUGCACAUCUGAAGAACAUAGAGAAACAACUCAAUUUCUCUUUUUACAACUGUACCAGAACUUCACAGCUACAAUGAUAGUAUGAACACAUGAAAAAAUGACUUCACUCAAACAAGAUUUAGAAAAGUCGGGGUGACCUCGGGGCCAGGGCACCACCCUGUGUGGUGAGGUUUACAGUCAGUCGUUCGAUAAUGGAGAGAGAGUGUGUGUGUGCACAUAUGUGUGUGUGUAUAUACAGAUAUCUAUAUAUAUAAAUAACCAUGUUCAGUCCUUUACAAGCCUGUAAAUAUGAUGUUGUGCUCCGUGUUCACUAUUUGAAACUUCAAACACACAGGCCAUGCAGAGUAGAGUUUCUUGUGUAUCCCUGUUUGUUACCACCUGUUAAGAUAAAAAAAAAGUAUAUAAUACCAAAAGGAUGAAAACAUAUUCCAUCUGUGUAUGACGACUAUGACUUAAUUGGAGAAGAACAAGUCUUAAGUCCAAGAGAGAUUUGCUCAGCCUCACUCUGUGUCCUCUAACACAGAUUCAGAACACUACAACUAUGACCUGAAGCCCAUCUAAACGUGGUUAUCAUAAGUAAGAAAUACCUUCUAGAUAGGGUCACUCAUAAUCUAUGCCCAAGAAAGGACCACAAAAAUUAGCACAUUUGUGUUUUUGUUUUUUAGGGGGCUGAUUUCUUUACAACAAAGAAUUCUCUUUAAUUCUGUCCCGCAAGGCAAUCAUUUACUCUAAGAAAUUGUCUUAUUUUUUAUCUGAAUUUUUAAAUUGACAAGUAAUAAUUCCAGUCCCUACCUAAAAGAAUAAAGUCUUGCAGUACAUAUAUUUAUGGGCUACAAUGUGAUGAUAGAUGUAUAUACCUUGUGGGACGAUUACAUCAGGCUAACAUACCAAGCACUUCACGUACUUCUUUGUGAUGAGAACAUUUAAAAUCCACUCUUUUUCCCAUCCUAGUCUUAAACUUCUGCUAAAUCUUGUUUCACAAUAGCCAAGGACAGAGAAGCUGCAGGAGUGCCUCCCUCACCACUAUGUUAACCAGUAGUGCCUAGACCCAGAAAAGUAUCUGCUGAAUCAAGGAACAGUGGGAUAGGUAGAAUCCUGUGGAAUGACAUUCUUUCCAUAGACAUGGGCUUUAUCUUUCAAAAUGUAUUGUGAAAUACUCAUGCUUCCCCUCCAGUCUCUUGAAUCCCUCUAAUUAUCCCUCGUAUUUUGAGUUCUCCAGCCCAAAUCAUUGCAGCUCCCUCCACACCACACAGACCCUGACUCCUUUCUGUCCUCACUCUGGUCUCAAUUCCCCAUGCUAUUCUCAGAAGGAACUUUCUAAGAGCAAAUCUAAUCAAGCAAAAACAUGAAACGCGUCAGUGACUCUGUUACUUUUG